CAGCCACAGCCUCCCGACGCCGAAACCCCGCCCCACCUGCUGGAAGCCCCGCCCCAUAGGCCCGCCUCUCGAGGCCCCGCCCAGUAGGCCCGCCCCUCGCACUUAAACCCCGCCCUCACUAGAAGCCCCGCCCCGCCUCGCCGCCCGCGAGGCCUCAGUCCCCGAGCGGUAGCCGCGCUGGAUCCCGGUGGCGGUCUCCGCGCGGCCGGAAGCCCACGCGGGCGGUGGUGGGGAGGGGCCGCGCGGGCCUGGGGAGGGGCAGCCCUCGGGGAGGUGGAAGCAGGGUCGGUGCACGGCGCUCCUUUGGGAACCCAGCCUGCUGCCUGACCGGAAAAGACCCCCGAGGACCACCUCCUCCUUCCCUCUGAGAGCAGAAAGGAAAAGGCUGCAGGCCUCCUCACCCCAGGUGUUAGCAGGACACCGGAAUCGAGCAGAGACGGGAGGGAGGGCGAGCGCUGACCCACGUCCCUCCCCAGCCCCCCUCAGGGGUCGCUUCUGGAAGCCCCCUCGGCAGAGCUCUUCGUCUGCCUUCCUUUGUAGGUGGCCGGGCGCCCAGGAUCGCAAGCCAUUUAGCACCUCUGGAGGUCAAAGCACUGUCUGCGAAGAGAAAUACACACGUGGCAAAGCCUCUGCCUAUCAAUCUGGAGGGAAACGCAAACACGCUGGGACCUGCCAGCCAGCCUGAUGGGAGCAGCAGCACCUGGGUGUGUGGACGCUUUCGUGAACACAGGAGGACAUCCCGGGAGGUAUCAGGGCAAAAAAGGCUACCAAAAUAAUAGAGUCAGGUAUGAUCACUAACUUGACUGCAUUUGUACUCACAGGGACACUUAGGGACAUUUGAGUUACGUCCAAAAAAAGUGAGAAAAUGACCUAAGUGAAAUUGGAUGGGAGUGCAAGGGGUGAAGUGAUCCACUAUGACCUAGAAUCAGGGCAGGAGUUAGUAUUUGCACUGGGUCUUAACUGGAAGAGUGGGGCCCAGCAGUCCAGGGAGGGACAAGCGUAUGCAAAAAUACAGAGGUAAGAGGUAGAUGACAUUCCAGGCUUUUUGAGCUCGUGGUGGGGUACAAAUAUUCAGUGAGAGAGGAGGAAAGGGCAGUUGGGCAUAGACCAUGAAAGGACUGGGGUUCUUAUACACAUGUGAGACUUUGGGAGGCUUCACUCCCUUGUCACCCUAAGCCACUGAGGUUAUAUUCUUCCUUCCUCCCACACCUUUGCUGUUUCUUCUAGAGGAAGAACAGACCCUCCUCUUUGGGAGGAACUCUUCCUUCUUUAGAUAACGGUGGUGAUAUUUUCUAGCCUGAAAAUUACAGCAUAUACUCUAAGAUGUUUCAUCAUUUGAAAAGUCUUACAAAGGUAUAUCGAGGUAUUGAGAAUGUCAAGGCAGUUCAGAGUAACUCUCGAACUUUAGCCUGCCGAGGACUCUCAGGGACAUUGGUUCAAAUGCCGAUUCCCGGGCCCUGCUCUCCAAAGACUCUGAUUUUAUAGGUCUGAGUGGGACCCGGGGAUCUGCAUUUUUAACAGUGAUUCAGGUGGUCGUCAAACCACACUUGAGAAGUCCUGAGUUAGAGCUUACGGUGUGCAGUAUGGGCAGAGCGAAAAGUGAAAAUAGGGAAUGAAAUCAGGACAAGUCAGUCUGCAAAGGGCCUCCUGCACUGCCCCUGGAGUUUGGACUUUACCCUGUGGGCUGAAGGGAGUGGGUAGAGAUUGUUAUGUCAUGUGGUUGUUUUUAGAUGCUAAUUCUAGAGAACUUCAUUCACUCCAAUUCCCUUGCCUUAGCUGCUUUUGUCUUUAAAUAUUCAUUCACUAAUUCAAUCAACAAAAUUUGGGGGUCAAAAAAAUAGGCUUUAAACUGUGGGGGAUUACCAAGAUAAAGUAAGCAUAGGUUCUCACCAACUUGAAAAACUGCCCAUUGACCCUUCUUCCCUCAGAAGUGACUAUGGGUUGAAACCGUAGCACCCUUACUCCAAGGUUGGAAGAUUUUUGUGGAAAAUGAACAUAUUUUAUUAGAAGACAUGGAGGACUUCCUGGAGCAGGAUGGGCAAACACACCCUAGUGUUUACCUGAUAUUGGAAAGGAAAGUUUUCCUCCUGCCUCUGCAGCCUUGGGUGAAUGUGUAUGUGAAACACAGAUCACCGCUAAUGUGUCCCCAGUUCAGAUUUCUGCAUCUGCAAGUUCAGAAUUAUGGUGAUUUUGACAAGGAGGAGACUACAAUGUAAAUGAGAAGAACCAUCAUAUCUGAAAGAAGUAGGCAGCAAUUCCAAGAUACUAUAUUGUUCCUGAACUAACGUCUGUGCCAGUCUUCCUCCACUUUGCAUUUGGGACACCACCACAGCAUGGCCUGAUGAGUGGUGCACAGGUCCAUGCCUGGAAUCCGAACCUGUGAACCCUGGGCUGCCGAAGCAGAGCUCGCGAACUCAACCACCACGCCACCAGGCCAACCUCAAGCCGCUAAGUUUUGAAGUGGUUUGUUACACAAGAAAAGCUGAUUAAUACACUCCAUCUCAAG
rnacentral:lncRNA from 1 species